GGAAUCUUGCACAAUGGGGGAAACCCUGAUGCAGCGACGCCGCGUGGAGGAUGACGGAUCUAGGUCUGUAAACUCCUUUUUCAUGGAAAGACUUAGGACGGUACCAUGAGAAUAAGGACCGGCUAACUACGUGCCAGCAGCCGCGGUAAGACGUAGGGUCCAAGCGUUGUCCGGAUUUACUGGGCGUAAAGAGCGCGUAGGCGGUCUGUUAAGUGUGAAGUGAAAUCUCCAGGGCUCAACCCGGAAACUGCUUCGCAUACUGGCAGACUUGAGGAGUGCAGAGGUUUGUGGAAUUCCUGGUGUAACGGUGAAAUGUGUUGAUAUCAGGAGGAACACCCAUGGCGAAGGCAGCAAACUGGGCAUUAUCUGACGCUGAGGCGCGAAAGCGUGGGUAGCAAAC
rnacentral:rRNA from 1 species